rnacentral:rRNA from 1 species
CAGAGACUGCAAGCGUUAUUCGGAUUCACUGGGCGUAAAGGGUGCGCAGGCGGCCAAGUGUGUGAGGCGUGAAAGCCCGGGGCUUAACCCCGGAAUUGCACCUCAAACUACAUGGCUAGAGCAUUGGAGAGGGUAGCAGAAUUCAUGGUGUAGCAGUGAAAUGCGUAGAUAUCAUGAGGAAUACCAGAGGCGAAGGCGGCUACCUGGACAAUUGCUGACGCUCAGGCACGAAAGCGUGGGGAGCAAAAGGGAUUAGAUACCCCUGUAGUCCACGCCCUAAACGGUGCACACUAGGUCUUGGCGGAUUCGACCUCCCCAGGGCCCCAGCUAACGCGUUAAGUGUGCCGCCUGAGGACUACGGCCGCAAGGCUA